rnacentral:rRNA from 1 species
UUACCGGGACCGACAGCAAUAUGAAGGCCAGGCUGAAGACUUUGCCGGAUUAGCUGAGAGGUGGUGCAUGGCCGUCGUCAGUUCGUACUGUGAAGCAUCCUGUUAAGUCAGGCAACGAGCGAGACCCACGCCCACAGUUGCCAGCGUACUCUCUGGAGUGACGGGUACACUGUGGGGACCGCCGCUGCUAAAGCGGAGGAAGGAAUGGGCAACGGUAGGUCAGUAUGCCCCGAAUAUCCCGGGCUACACGCGAGCUACAAUGGUUGGUACAAUGGGUAUCUACCCCGAAAGGGGACGGGAAUCUCCUAAAACCAAUCUUAGUUCGGAUUGAGGGCUGCAACUCGCCCUCAUGAAGCUGGAAUCCGUAGUAAUCGCGUUUCAACAGAACGCGGUGAAUACGUCCCUGCUCCUU